GUUGUUGAGUCGUCGGUUAACAGUGGGAAACAAAUUGAUGCCGUACAUUUCAUUCAUGCCUUCCAGCUUACUGAAAGCUUUCCCCCUGUUCCCCUCUUGAAGAUAUAUUUAAAGAAUUGAAGGAGAAACUCACAGGGAAAGGGUGUGAGUUCGGGUGGAGAUGCCAGUGCACAGAUUGAUGUAAAUGCACAGGAACGUGCUGCUUUGAAAGCUCUAGUUAGUUGUGGCCAAGAGUACAGGCUUGAACCUGACUAUCCUCUUGAUCCACUUCAGAAAAGUAUUGAACAACUGGAGAGGGUCGAAAUCUGAUAAGAAAAGGGAUGGAGAUUUUGGUAGACGUCAACACUUCAAGAAACAAAGAGCGAACUGAGGAUACCGUGGAUUUCUUUCUCACAGUGGCAAGGCAGCUCCUGGUAGGCUUCUUCCGCCCGUUUUCUGACGUGUCGUGCACUUGUGAGCAAGACACAACAUUUUCUUUGACAGGGCAGCAUGUGGAGGAAUGCCUGAGAGAUAUCCUCUGGCUGGUCCAAACUCUUACGAUUAUCAAGUUCAUAGCCAGCCUGUUUUUGCUCAGCAACCAAAUGAUCAAAGAAUAUGCUUUUAUCCCCAAGAUUUAGUUAUCAAAUGCAAGAUUUGUGUGCAACCUUAGUGAAUGUGCAGAGAAUUUUUUUGUGAGUGAAUCACAUUUUGCCAUACAAGUUUGGCUGUAAAACACUUCUUCACCCCUAAUUGACAUAGAUAACAUUUCUUCACCCAAA